rnacentral:lncRNA from 1 species
CAAUGAGUUCAGUGACAUUGUCAACAUGAUUGGGAAGCUUUAUGCAAUCCAGGAUACUAUUUAAUUAAUGGGUCAUGUUAACUGUACCAUAUAUGGUACUGGGCCAACUGUGUCGUGGCCCAGUAUCUUACCUCUAGGGUUAGGAUAUAUAUCCUAACCCUUUCCAUGUACGAAUUAGCUUUUCUGUUCGUUACAGGUCAGAAAUCAAUAUUCUCCAAAUAUCAGACAUAGAGUAGUAAAGAAAGAACUGGGGAAUAUUGUGAAAAUCACAAGGGCAAGGACACCUAAACUGAUAGGUUGUUACUGACGAAACAAUGACUCAUAGACGAAGAUUCUAAUUGAAAGCAGGCAUGGUUGACAUAUAUAUGUAACUUGAAAAAUCUGCUCUCUAACAUAUAAAAUCAAGAACAACAAUAACUCUGGCUGGAACGGGAAAGCUGAGAAGUGAAAUGAAAUAUUGAUUUAUAUGGAAGAGAACGGAGGAUACUCUCUCAGAACAUCCGUUGAUUAGAAAACUUAACACAAAAAAAAAAUGAAAUUUGGGCUCAUGAGAACUGCUGAUAAGCUGGCACAGAUACUCUAUGCAAAAAAGUUAACGUUCCGCUAUUUAAAUAACAGCAUAGUUUCAUUACGAAUCUGUGAGAACUGGUUGUGCUCUGUUUGAAAGAUGGAUGAUGCAUGCCACCGAAAUGUCCUGAAAUUAAAAUAUCAUAGAACACUGGUCUGAGCUGAAAACUAAAAUAAAAAAUUCAACUUUAAAUCUCUUAAAUGAUUGAUGCCAUGAAUUACAGCAGAGUUUAACGCAUUCCUUUCUUGUUUGAUACGACAUCAGUUAUCUUUCAGGUAACACUUAAUUUAAGCUGUUACGUAUGAUCCUUGCCAUUAUACGUUUGAUGUUUACCCCACAUGACUUCUCAUCAUAUUUCAUACAACAGGGUAUUUCAGGUGUGCCAAAGAUUAAAGACAAUUACAACCCAGCAACAUGGAUGCUUGAAGUUACGACAACAACGAUGGAGAUGAAACUUGGCGUAGACUUUUCACAGCUCUACAAAGAAUCGUCCAUAUACAAGUUAGAAAAAAAUUCUGGUCCAUUUAUACAAGCCACUUAUUCCGUAUGAGCUUGACACGAUAAAAUCAAAUAGUUUGUCUAAUAAAGUUCAUGCUAACGGCAAUAAACCAUAUGAGUCAAAAAGCCUAGAGACCAAGCUACCAAAACUUGGUCACAUUAGGAUGGCAAUAAUGGAAAAGUUGGACCCUUCAAGGAUCGGUUGAACUCAAACUAAGACUGAUCCUCUGCCAGAGCUACUUCCAAUAAGUCGAAAGUCUAGGUGUUCCCUUCUUUGUUGAUAUUAUUUCUUUGGAUGCUGAUGCUAAGAGCAGUGGAAGCUAAAGCUUAGGAAUGGAAGGGAACCUGCUACCUUGAAUCAAUCAUUUUGCCGUUCACAUGAUGUUUAUAAAGAGAUCAUUGAUAGAAAGGGCAUUUAGGUCAGUCUACAGAUACGGUGUUAGCUGACAGCUGUCCUGGAAUAAUUUACUCCGAAGAUCUGUUAGAUAUGAAACCUCGUUGUGCCAAUUAUAAAAAAUAUGCUCUAGUUGAAUUACGUGCUACUAUUUUUGUUAUGCAAAGGCAAGUUCAGCAGCAAUCUGUUGACAGCUACAAUAUGUAAGUACCGUUUGUUUUGUGCAGGAACAACUUAGACCUUGUUCAGCAACAUAGCACACCUCCAGAGGGCUCUAAGGAACUGCACUUCCCAACAAUUUUCUCACAAAAGUUCUGGGGCCAAUUCAGAGCUUGCUUAUGGAAGCAACACUUAUCCUACUGGAGAAGCCCUCAAUACAACUUGGUGCGCCUAAUAUUUGUAGGCAUCUUAUCAAUAGCACUCGCGGCAGUUUUCUGGCAGCAUGGGAGAACAUUGUAAGUUCUCAAUAAUUGGGCAUUUGAGGAUCUUUGUGCUGAUAAAUUUAAGAAAAUAUCUAGUGUGACCACAGAAAAAAGAAAACUAGAAACUACAACAGUAUCAUAAAUGCAGAUACAAGCACAGAGGAUAUAUUCUUAGUCUGAGAAAUCGUAGGACGGAUAAAAAUUAAAUUACACUGGGAUGAUUAAUUGAAAUUACCUUUAAAAAAUUAGACGAAUUCUGUGUUCCGAAGCAUGCAGGGAAGCCAACAGAAUAAUCGGCAGUGAAGAUCACCUAAAAAUUAUAACUAAAAAUACUUUAACUCUGAUUUGAAAUCUUAGCAUCUUAUGUAUGAAAAAUAGAAAGAAAAAGCAACAAGCAGAUUACACUAAAUGAAACCCAAUUGGAGAACCCAUCUUAAAAUUAUCAAUAGAAAAUCUACAGGUCAUGUUUGCAUUUUAACUCAUACUGCCAUGACUACUACUUAUUCUUUCUCUGUGAAGAAAUAACCAACAGGAUUUGUUCAACAUGCUUGGAUCAAUGUUCAUUAGCAUGAUCUUUUUGGGAAUACACAACUGUUCAUCAGUUCUACCAUUCAUUGCAAUCGAGAGAAAUGUUGUGUAUCGGGAAACAUUUGCAGGAAUGUACUCUUCAUGGGCCUAUGCCUCUGCACAGGUGCAUCCACCUCUAACAUAUAAAUUUUUCUCCCUUUGGAUCAUCCAUUCAAGACCACUGAUCUUUUCGUUCUGUCUUCGCUAAUAUUACACUUCUCUUUUCAGAUGGCCAUCGAGAUCCCCUAUGUAUUUGCACAAGCAGUACUAUUUAUGGGUAUUGCAUACUCAGGAAUUGGAUUCUACUGGUCUUCCUACAAAUUCUUUUGGUUCUUCUACACAAUGUUCUGCACACUACUUUACUUUAAUUAUCUAGGGAUGCUUCUUGUGUCAUUGACACCAAAUACUCAGGUGGCAUCAAUUUUAGCAUCUGCAUUCUAUGCAAUGAUGAAUAUGUUCUCGGGUUUCAUUGUACCUGGACCAGUAAGUGCUUCAAAAACAAUUCAUGUUACCUUAUUUUUCUGCAUCUCCAUCUCAUUUGUGAGACUCAAAGGUUCAUAUCCUCAGAAUCGAAUCAGGAAACUGCAUCACAUGUAGAAGACUAAAGAAUUUUUAUGAUUUUAGGAGGAUGCAGAAAGCAAAAUCUUUGAUCAGUUGUGUUAUAGCCAAAAGAGAAAUUAAGCUAUCGAAUGAAACAGUUUUUGGAGAAGAAAAACGAGAUUUAAGAAUUCAUGACCAAAAACAAAAAAUAUAGUUCUUCAUUCAAGCUUCAUUGUAUUCAAAACUAUUAAUAUGGUUCGUUCUUGUUACUAUUCUGCAGCAAAUUCCAAAGUGGUGGAUUUGGCUCUAUCACAUCUGCCCAACAUCCUGGACGCUGAAUGGACUCUUUAUUUCGCAAUAUGGGGACAUAGCCAAGGAGAUUACAGUGUUUGGAGAAUCAAAGCCGAUUGGGUCCUUCAUAGAUGAUUACUUUGGUUUCCAAAAAAGCAAACUGCCUCUUGUGGCUGUCCUCCUCAUUCUUUACCCGGUCAUCAUCGGUUCUCUAUUCUCAAUUUGUAUAGGGAGGGUAAAUUUCCAGAGAAGGUGAAGGGACACAGGAAGACUUGCACAUACGUCAUGUAUACUUCUAAUUCAUAGGAAAAUAUGCACGGACAUUCCACAACAGGUUACUACAGCAAUGAAGACCGGGAUCGGAGGUUACCAAUCGGAGCUCCUAAAAGGAUGGUGCAAA